UAAAUAUAUGACAGACCAAGGCCGUAGCUAGGCAUCUUAUUUUAGUGAGGCAAAAUAAUUGAGCCGAGCGAAGCGAGGCGAAAAUUUUUUUUUGGAGGGUAUGAAAUGAAUGGUGCAAAAUCCUGCAUUCUAGGCAUUUUUAGAGAGUUUGAUAAUGUUUUGAAUUUGGACACUUUUUAUAUAAAUUUUUCAUAUUUUUAGACUUUUACUAACACGAAAUUUUUAACAACUUUAUUUCAAUUUAUAUGUAAGAUAAUCAUCCAAAUAUCACUGAUUUGAGUCUGCUGCCAGAACAUAGAACAAACAUCGAUUCAGUAGAGUUUGCCAAAUUUUUCUAUUGCCGGUUCAGUCAAAUCGUUUCAGAAUCAUAAUUUGGUCUGCUGAUAUCCUUUUCGCGAUGAACAUGGAGCAUGGCAAGACCGCACAAUCUCUCGCCACUCAUGCAUGCUCUCUUUCUAAGUUUUCAGUCGUUUCAGGGCAGUCUGUGUUUCUAAAGGUAGCACAUUAUCAUCAACACAAUGAUCAAUGUCUUCUUCCAAUUCCUUCUCCAUCAACAAUUCGUUAGCAGCAUCGGUAGUCACAGUUUUGUUUGCAAAAAAGAAUUAAGCUUUCCUGUAAGCACCAUCAUACAGUCGCAGUUACAAAAUAUUAAACUCGCUUUUAUGCUGACAAAGAGUAAACAAACUAGGGAUAGAAUGAGAUAAGAUACAGGUAUAUGAUUCUAUCUAUAGAGUAAGUAUAUCUGAUAUUGGUACAGGGGAAAUUGGAAUGGAGUUUUUUGACGUUCACAUGUAGGUCCGUAAUUUCCAAUUAUUCCUGGAAAUAGCUUGGUGGUAUUUUAGUUCCAGAAUCUAUAAAUUUAGGGGUUAGGGGUUGGGGGUGUCCGAUUCCGAAACCCUGAAUAUAAAGAAACGAAAUUCCGUAGUCCCAAAUAAGUAAAGACAAAUCCUGUGUUAAAGGUUCUACCAUUCCUCAAUAAUAUCAAAUUGGAAUAUGGGAUAUUCUUUCAAUUUUUAAGGUUAAAGAAACAUGGAAAAAAACUAAUCCAUGCAUGUUUCAUAUUAUUUAUAUUUUAUUUAUCUGUAAAGAGAAAGAUUAAAGUUCGUGAAAUGAAUACGCAGACAGGACUGCCCCUUUGCGAUGCCCAGUACUUGAUUAGUCAAAAGUUGGUGAAACGGAGAAAUGAAUACGCAGACAAGACUGCCCUCUUCCGAAGACCAGUACUUGAUUUGUCAGUCUACUUAUCGUUUUU
rnacentral:lncRNA from 1 species